UUUACUUUUUGUAUUUAACUGCAGAGAAAGGAUAUUUUCAAUUAUCAUGUGUACUUCAUGUCAAAAAUCUUUAUAUUUAUCAAACUGAUGUAUUGUAUUGUUAUUUCAUAAAGAAAAUAGUAUUCAUAGAAAAACAUUUUUUAUAAUGUUAUUGUAUGAUAAUUUAUAAAACACAGCUUUUCUUAUAUACUAUAUAGGUAGAAUUCAAUGUCUAUCGGUGCAAUGGAAAAAUUAAUUUUAAUAUAUAAAAUUCUCGUGUCACAGUGUUAGUUAUCGAAUUCCUCCGAAACGACUUGACCGAUUUUCAUGAAAUAUUUUGUGUAUAUGUGGUAGGUCUGAUAAUACGUUUAAGGCUAAUUUAAAAAGGUGAUUGACCACUCCCGGGAGGUGCUCAAACAGGCAUUUUGAGAUUUACGAUAGACAUUUUUGUUAAAAAUGGUUGCUAUGGUGGUUAUAAGAUUUGAGAAUAAUAUUUAUUUAUUAAUGGUUGCCAUUUGUAAAAUAUAAUAUUAAUAUAAUGAAUUACCUGACGUUGCAAGGUAACCAAAAAUAAACAAAAAAAAAAAUAAAACAUAAAUAAUUACUUUGAAUAAAUUAUUUGUUUGUGUCAUUUAAAAUGCCAAGUAGACGCCAGAAUGCCAAUGUUUGUCGUAGAACAAAUGCAGCUACAAACAUGAGAAAUAGAAGAGCGCAAAUAACAGACAAACAAUACCAAUCCAAUAGUGCGAAUGUUCGUGUGAGUAUGUCGCAAUUGCGUGAAUCUCAAUUACAAGAGACACGUGCAGAACGGAAUGAACGACAAUUUGAGCAAAGACAAGCGCGUCGAUUCGUAGCUGACUCACGCAGAGCAAAUGACCAACAACGCAAACAGACUUGCAGGAUUAGUCCGGGCUGGUAAGGCGACAGCUCUUGACGUUUGAAUUGACGUAAAUUUAAUUUCACGGAAUAAAACCGGAGUGUAGUUAAUACGUCAAGCCACAAUUAUCUUGGAACUUACGAAGUGUUACUACACUUCACGGUAUAUAUAUAAAAAAAUGAACGACCACGGGGUGGAUCGACCACGAGGUCACUGACACACUCGUUCGACGUAAAAAACGUGCCAAAACAAAGCAGACUCCGCUAGGUUCGGCGGAUGGCGAAAGACGGUCACAACGACUUAAAUGAAGAAAAAACGUGUUGUCCGCACACGCGGUUUAAUCGCGUGAGGUGGCGAGCGGACGGGACGAUGCGUCAGGCUCGACCGCCUGGAAAAUACGCAGACUUUUUGCCGGCGACAAAUAGCCAACGGCCAACAGCUCAGUGAUGUACGGUAGAGGGGGGGGGGGAGGAAGCAACUUUAUCACGGAGCUUCCCCGUCCGACAUGGCGCUGCGAUAAGAUACGUGGCGUACUUGCGUCCGUGCACGUAGGUACACAUGUUAAACAAUAACGGACAAUUGUGCGAUUCUUGCAAUUUUUUCAACCGUGGUUAAAUGCGAUAACUUUGCGUUUUGAAUGAUCUUUUGGUUUUCGGGUAUUUCUAAUUGGUCAUCUGUAUAAUACCUCGAUGCCGACAAAUUGGCACACAGCGAUCUAUCUUUUCCACCGUUCGUAAUUAUAACAGCACACGUUCCUGUAAAAUGUAAUGAUUAAGUAAUGAUCAGGUAUGAUGAUCUAUUGUUUUUUGUGGUUGUUGAUGAUUCUGUGACCUAACCUAUGAGUUAAAAUAACUAAGCGAUAACCGUCUUUUUUGACCUUAAAAGUGCUCAUCUUGCGUGCGACUCUCUCCAUAUCUGUCGUAUCCCACUUAUUCGCAAGGGCAAAUGCUUUGGCUUCCUAAAAUCAAACAUACUUUUGUAAUAAAAAAAUAUUUUAUUUUAUUACACCGCAUUUGAUUCCACUCACUUCAGUACUUCCAAUCAUAAUAUUUACGUAUGGUAAAACAGCCAUCACUGAAUCCAUAUAAGUUUCAAAUAUAUAUGCCGCACUCAUAUUGAACAAUAAUAGACAAUUCCUUUUAUGUGCGAUUCUUGCAAUUUUUUCAACCGUGCGUAAAUGCGAUAACUUUGCGUUUUGAAUGAUCUUUUGGUUUUCGGGUAUUUCUAAUUGGUCAUCUGUAUAAUACCUCGAUGCCGACAAAUUGGCACACAGCGAUCUAUCUUUUCCACCGUUCGUGAUUAUAACAGCACACGUUCCUGUAAAAAGUAAUGAUAAGAUAUUACAUGUAUACUUAUUUAAAGAAAAUAAUAUAGUCAUUGUUCACCUGUGGACUUAUCAGCAUGGUACUGGUAUUUUACGUCCAAUCCAUCACUGAUCGCCUCGCGUUCUAAUAUCUUGCUGUAACGAUCUUCCCCGACUGCGCCAAAAAACGCAGCAGAGUUCGGUUUUUUCAAUAUCCAUUAUGUAACAUAUUUUAUUGUUAAAUAAAACGAUUUUAUAUUAA